rnacentral:misc_RNA from 1 species
AACGCACAUUGCGCCCCUUGGUAUUCCGAGGGGCAUGCCUGUUCGAGCGUCAUUACAACCCUCAAGCAUUGCUUGGUAUUGGGCUUCGCCGUUAACCCGGCGGGCCUUAAAAUUAGUGGCGGUGCCGUCGAGGCCCUGAGCGCAGUAAAUAUCCUCGCUAUAGGGACCCGACGGACGCUGGCCAUUUAACCCCCAACUUUUUUAGUUUGACCUCGGAUCAGGUAGGGAUACCCGCUGAACUUAA